UACGGAGGAUCCAAGCGUUAUCCGGAUUCAUUGGGUUUAAAGGGUGCGUAGGCGGAAUAUUAAGUCAGUGGUGAAAGCCUGUUGCUUAACAACAGAACUGCCAUUGAUACUGCUAAUCUUGAGUACAUUUGAUGUGGGCGGAAUGUGUCGUGUAGCGGUGAAAUGCUUAGAUAUGACACAGAACACCGAUUGCGAAGGCAGCUCACAAAACUGUUACUGACGCUGAGGCACGAAAGCGUGGGGAUCGAACAGG
rnacentral:rRNA from 1 species